rnacentral:lncRNA from 1 species
AGAUCCGCCUCCAUCGCAGCCAGAAGCAAGAAGCUGUCUUCCCGCCCCCGCGUGCCUACAAUCAGCCCCAGUCUCCCUGGGAAACCGACGAGCGCACCUGAGCUGGGUUCUGAGCUCCAGCGUUUUGGGGCUAGAAGUUGCGGACUAGUAGCUGAGGCGGCACGGGAGUGUAGGCGCGCGGGGUCGUUGCCGGGGGCACAGAGUGAGAACAAGCAAGGGAGCCCUGCUGAAUUGCAGCUUAGGAAGCCCUGAAUCCUGGAGAUAUGUUCCUGACCCUUCCUUCUUGAAGGGACAGCUGUGUAACCAUUCAACCAUCUGGCCAUCAGUUUCCACAUCUGUGAAAUCAACUUCUGCCUCAUGGAGCCGUGAGUUCCCAAGCAGUGAAGGCAGUGAGGGGCUGUGGUGUGAUCCAGGAGGCUGAGAAUUAUGCAGUGGGUGCUGUCACCUUGAAGACAUCAGCGUGAUCAGGCAGAUCAUCAUGGUACUGCAUUUCCUGGACACGAUCUUAAUUUUCUUAAUACCUCCACCGACAUUUCAAAUAGCGUCUCUAAUGCCCCAGAGACUUUUAUGCCCCUAAGGUAGUUUUCUUUCUUUU